ACAAUCCUAUAUCGUACAUUCUUUAUUUCAUUUCCUCAGAAUUCGCCUAGAUAUUUUCUUCUCUCUCCUCCUCGCCGUGAGCCUUUUGAUUCCUUCCGUCUCAAUCCGCGGUAAGCAAGAAAACUGAAAGUCCUAUGGAAAAAUCCAUCGUCUCUCGAGAUUUCCCUUUUCAACCUUUCUCGUCCGAUUUCUUCAUUGGUUUCUGAGCUGUUGUUUCUUUUUCUGUAUCAUCUAUGGCGGUUUGGAAGGCUCGAGAUCAUUUCCUUUUAUUGAUCAUGGAGGUUUGCGGUCCAGGAAAGUGUCAUGGCUGAAAAGAGCCAGCAAUGGCUUGUUAGUUUCAAAACUUCACCCAGUCGCAGGUCAAGUUUUUGCCGGGAUAUUUCUCUUCAAAAGGAAAAAUGAAAAAGUGCUGGGGUAAUUCAACAGAACUCAACCUUCAGAAGGAGCCAAAUAAAACUAACAUGGAGCCCAAUCAAGCAAAAUAAGAGUUAGAAGACUAUUACAAAAAACGUAUACUCACCGAGGCUUGUCGAGAGAUAAUGCUUGGAAGGACGUAAGUUACCAACCGUGGUCUUGUUUCUAGCAAACGUUUGGUAUCCCUGUGGUUGAGGAUCUUUGGCUGUGAAGUUAGGGUGGGUUCGCUGUUUCAAGAUAAAGGUCAUUUUCCACCUUGUACAGCUCCUUUUUUCUGCCGUUGUGGCAACUAAUUGGUUGGUAAACAAACCAUGGGAAGUUCUCGAGCUUUCAUAGGUCGUCAGUGAAGGAUCAAGGUCAAUGUUUUUUUUUUUUUUUUGGUUCCCUCUUUGUACCUUUUUUGUGUAUUGUUAGUUGAGGCUAUCGUUUUUACAUUUCUUGUGAUCGCUUCGAAAUAUUCGAAAGGCUACUACAAUGUAGCUAGUAGUAUAAUGUCUCAAACCUAUAUGCUACAAUUAACCAAAGGCAUUCCAAGUUUUUAAGCUGUUAUUAUGUGAAUGCCACAAUAAUUUUCUAUGGUUGUAUAUAUAUGUAUUAUGUGUUUUUUACA